rnacentral:rRNA from 1 species
AUUGAACGCUGGCGGCAUGCCUUACACAUGCAAGUCGAACGGCAGCACGGGAGCAAUCCUGGUGGCGAGUGGCGAACGGGUGAGUAAUAUAUCGGAACGUGCCCAGUCGUGGGGAUAACGUAGCGAAAGCUACGCUAAUACCGCAUACGAUCUAUGGAUGAAAGCGGGGGAUCGCAAGACCUCGCGCGAUUGGAGCGGCCGAUAUCAGAUUAGGUAGUUGGUGAGGUAAGGCUCACCAAGCCGACGAUCUGUAGCUGGUCUGAGAGGACGACCAGCCACACUGGAACUGAGACACGGUCCACGACUCCUACGGGAGGCAGCAGUGGGGAAUUUUUGGACAAUGGACGCAAGUCUGAUCCAGACCAUUCCGCGUGCAGGAUGAAGG